AACGCUGGCGGCAGGCCUAACACAUGCAAGUCGAGCGAACGGAGGGACUUCGGUUCCGAGGUUAGCGGCGGACGGGUGAGUAACGCGUGGGAACGUGCCCUGGGGUAAGGAACAACCGUUGGAAACGACGGCUAAUACCUUAUGAUGUCUCUGGUUUCGACCGGAGACCAAAGAUUUAUCGCCCUUGGAUCGGCCCGCGUUGGAUUAGGUAGUUGGUGGGGUAACGGCCUACCAAGCCGACGAUCCAUAGCUGGUUUGAGAGGAUGACCAGCCACACUGGGACUGAGACACGGCCCAGACUCCUACGGGAGGCAGCAGUGGGGAAUCUUAGACAAUGGGCGCAAGCCUGAUCUAGCCAUGCCGCGUGAGCGAUGAAGGCCUUAGGGUUGUAAAGCUCUUUCACCGGUGAAGAUAAUGACGGUAGCCGGAGAAGAAGCCCCGGC
rnacentral:rRNA from 1 species